rnacentral:rRNA from 1 species
AACGAACGCUGGCGGCAGGCCUAACACAUGCAAGUCGAGCGCCGUAGCAAUACGGAGCGGCAGACGGGUGAGUAACACGUGGGAACGUGCCCAAAGGUACGGAACAACUCCGGGAAACUGGAGCUAAUACCGUAUGUGCCCGAGAGGGGAAAGAUUUAUCGCCUUUGGAUCGGCCCGCGUCUGAUUAGCUAGUUGGUGAGGUAACGGCUCACCAAGGCGACGAUCAGUAGCUGGUCUGAGAGGAUGGCCAGCCACACUGGGACUGAGACACGGCCCAGACUCCUACGGGAGGCAGCAGUGGGGAAUAUUGGACAAUGGGCGCAAGCCUGAUCCAGCCAUGCCGCGUGAGUGAUGAAGGCCUUAGGGUUGUAAAGCUCUUUCGCCAGGGACGAUAAUGACGGUAACCGGAGAAGAAGCCCCGGCUAACUUCGUGCCAGCCGCCGCCGUAA